GAUGAACGCUGACAGAAUGCCUAACACAUGCAAGUCUACUUGAAUUUGGGUUUUUUAACUUAGAUUUGGGUGGCGGACGGGUGAGUAACGCGUAAAGAACUUGCCUCACAGCUAGGGACAACAUUUGGAAACGAAUGCUAAUACCUGAUAUUAUGAUUAUAAGGCAUCUUAGAAUUAUGAAAGCUAUACGCGCUGUGAGAGAGCUUUGCGUCCCAUUAGCUAGUUGGAGAGGUAACGGCUCACCAAGGCGAUGAUGGGUAGCCGGCCUGAGAGGGUGAACGGCCACAAGGGGACUGAGACACGGCCCUUACUCCUACGGGAGGCAGCAGUGGGGAAUAUUGGACAAUGGACCAAGAGUCUGAUCCAGUAAUUCUGUGUGCACGAUGACGUUUUUCGGAAUGUAAAGUGCUCUCAGUUGGGAAGAAAAAAAUGACGGUACCAACAGAAGAAG
rnacentral:rRNA from 1 species